AUUCAAAGAAUUUGCACAGGUUGAAUUUUUCAACACGUUUUAGCGAUUAUUUCUGGACUUGAUUUUCCAGACCCAGACUAAUGCAUUUGGCCAUGCAAUUACUAUAUAUACCCCCAUAAAUAUUUAAUUCAAAUAGUCAACCCAAAUGAAAAGCUUGUUUAGGGUCAUUUUUCUAGGAGCUUUCAUAGCUGCGAUCGUUGUUCCUGCGAUUGCUCAGCGUCAGAGACGAAAUGUUGGUGAACGUUGCGGCGAGGGAUGGUGUGUCUCCAUUCGUGACCGAUGUAGAUCAAUAUACUAUAUUUGCCGAGAUUUUAAACGAGAAAAGUGUUGCAUAUUUCCCGGAUGGAAAUAAAGGAAAUAAAAGGAAAGUUCUUCACUAGCAGCUCCUAUAACUGCGAUCGUUGUUCCUGUACUCGGCUAACUGCAGAGGACGACAUCUAAGACAAUAAGUUAAUUGAUCUGCUAGUCAGACCCAUAAUAAUGCAUUUUUCAUGGUAGUAAGCAACUGAUUCUACCGCGAAGUCAAAAUAAAUUAGUGAGCAAUGAUGAUGGAAAACUUUAAGAUUUUUUUUUUGUUAGCUCUUCUAUUUCUUGGCCUUAACUUAGGAAGUCCCAGAAAGUUAACUAGAACUUGUGGAAUGGGGCUGUGCGUAUCUGUAAGAAAUGACUGCCCUCGAGUAACGGGAAGGUGCGUCCAAAAGAACGAAAAAUGUUGUAAAGUUAGAUGGCAUUGGGAAUCGAAAUGAUAUAAGUAAUUAAAAUAAAACUUGAUUCCAAUACGAAAUUCAUUGAA